rnacentral:rRNA from 1 species
CUGACGAGCGGCGGACGGGUGAGUAACGCGUGGGAAUCUGCCCAUUAGUGGGGGACAACUUCGGGAAACCGGAGCUAAUACCGCAUACGCCCUACGGGGGAAAGCAGGGGAUCUUCGGACCUUGCGCUAAUGGAUGAGCCCGCGUCGGAUUAGCUUGUUGGUGGGGUAACGGCCUACCAAGGCGACGAUCCGUAGCUGGUCUGAGAGGACGAUCAGCCACACUGGGACUGAGACAUGGCCCAG